rnacentral:rRNA from 1 species
UACGUAGGGGGCAAGCGUUGUCCGGAAUCAUUGGGCGUAAAGAGCGUGUAGGCGGCCAGACAGGUCAGCUGUGAAAACUCGAGGCUCAACCUCGAGACGUCGGUUGAAACCGUCUGGCUAGAGUCCGGAAGAGGAGAGUGGAAUUCCCGGUGUAGCGGUGAAAUGCGCAGAUAUCGGGAAGAACACCCGUGGCGAAGGCGGCUCUCUGGGGACGGUACUGACGCUGAGACGCGAAAGCUAGGGGAGCAAACGGG